rnacentral:lncRNA from 10 species
CUGCCUCAGCCUCCCAAGUGUAGCUGGGACUACAGGCACACGCCACCAUGCCCAGCUAAUUUUUGUUUUUUUUAAUGUAGAGAUAAGAGUCUCACUAUGUUGCCCAGGUUGAUCUCAAACUCCUGGUCUCAAGAGAUCCUCCCACCUCAGCCUCCCAGAGUCAGAACCCAGAUCCUGGAACUCUUCUUUUCUUCUUCUAUACCACUGCUUCCUUGUUAAGAUCCUGUGAACACCAGAAUUGUUCCAUGGCCUCUUCACUAUUGAUUGCAACAGUAUCAUUUACCUGAAGUUACACAGUGACCACAAAAACCAUGUCCAGGACACCAAAUUUCUACUGCGAACUCUAGGCCAGAAGCUGACAACGGCCCAGGAACCAGGACUGCUUUCAGGAGGCGCUCAGAAGGGCAGCAAAGUACCCUCUCAACAUUAGUAAAAUGAAACAAAAGUGUCAGCCUUGGCUUCGCACACACUUACCCGUUCAUGGGGCAUGCUGGAGGCAGACGUUCUCUAUCAGGCAAGAGUUCUCAGUCAGAAUUAAGGUCUGCCAGGCAGAGGGCCACGUCUGGUUUACUUCUGUUUUCUCACUGUUGCUGGUCUUCCCCGAUUCCUGCCUCCCUCUCCAUGUUCCGGGAUGAGACUUUGACUGGUUUCUCAAGGGGCUAACUUUUGGUUCUCUUCUGGGCGUUUCUGCCCAGAGUCCCCUGGUUUGGACAGCAGCGAUCGUCUGUAGGACACACACAGUGAAUCCAGCCACCGGAUGAGGAAUU